rnacentral:ncRNA from 2 species
UUGGCAUCAAGAGUGCGCGAGGGUCCUGGCCCGAAGACCGCACGGCAACCUGUCCCGAUGCUGUCGGUCGGGGUAAGGUGCCACUGCCAGCGAGGCCAC